CAAAAACCAUGGAGCUUGAAUUUGUUCGUAUUUUUGCAGCAUUAAUUUUGGCUUUUACAAUAUACUGUAUCAUAAGAAAUAUCUCUAACCGUAGUUAUAUGAAAAUGCAUAUGUCGUAUGAGCCUUCUGGUGGCCUUGGGUUUGGAGAGACUCUCUUUGUUAUUGCUGCAAAUAAUAGCAGCAAUGGAGGACUGUAUGAAUUUGUACGCCUACGCCGUAAAAGGUUCGUAUAUUUCUUCUCUUUCUUACUUCUUUGUCCGUAACACCGGGAAAAUUACUUAGUUUUCUAAUCUUGUCUCUGUAUUUGUUUUGUUCGAAAAGACAUGGUUAUGCUGCUGAAGUUUCUGUAUCUGUUUGAAUUUAUG
rnacentral:lncRNA from 1 species